UGUAGCAAUACAUGCUGACGAGCGGCGAACGGGUGAGUAAUGCUUUGGAAUCUUCCCAGUAGUGGGGAAUAACCAGUCGAAAGAUUGGCUAAUACCGCAUACGUCUGUAAAGGGAAAGCGGGGGCUCGUAAGACCUCGCGCUAUUGGAUGAGCCAAAGUCGGAUUAGCUUGUUGGUGGGGUAAUGGCCUACCAAGGCGACAAUCCGUAGCUGGUCUGAGAGGACGACCAGCCACACCGGAACUGAGACACGGUCCGGACUCCUACGGGAGGCAGCAGUGGGGAAUAUUGGACAAUGGGGGAAACCCUGAUCCAGCGACGCCGCGUGUGUGAAGAAGGCCUGCGGGUUGUAAAGCACUUUUAGUGGGGACAAAAAGCUACGGAUUAAUACUCUGUGGUCUUGAUUUAACCCAAAGAAAAAGCACCGGCUAACUCUGUGCCAGCAGCCGCGGUAAUACAGAGGGUGCGAGCGUUAAUCGGAAUUACUGGGCGUAAAGCGCGCGUAGACGGUUUUGUAAGUCAGAUGUGAAAUCCCUGGGCUCAACCUGGGAACUGCAUUUGAAACUGCAUGGCUAGAGUAUCGAAGAGGGAAGUGGAAUUUCCGGUGUAGCGGUGAAAUGCGUAGAUAUCGGAAGGAACACCAGUGGCGAAAGCGACUUCCUGGUCGAAUACUGACGUUCAUGUGCGAAAGCGUGGGGAGCAAACAGGAUUAGAUACCCUGGUAGUCCACGCCAUAAACGAUGACAACUAGAUGUUGGGAGGGUCUGCCUCUCGGUGUCGCAGCUAACGCGUUAAGUUGU
rnacentral:rRNA from 1 species